UGGGGGAUAUUGCACAAUGGAGGAAACUCUGAUGCAGCAACGCCGCGUGAGGGAAGAAGGUCUUCGGAUUGUAAACCUUAGUAGUCAGGGACGAAAGAAAUGCGGUACCUGAAGAGUAAGCUCCGGCUAACUACGUGCCAGCAGCCGCGGUAAUACGUAGGGAGCGAGCGUUGUCCGGAUUUACUGGUGUUAAAGGGUGCGUAGGCGGGACUGCAAGUAGACGUGAAAUACCGAGGCUUAACUUCGGGGCUGCGUUGAAACUGUGGUUCUUGAGUGAAGUAGAGGCAGGCGGAAUUCCUAGUGUAGCGGUGAAAUGCGUAGAUAUUAGGAGGAACACCAGUGGCGAAGGCGGCCUGCUGGGCUUUAACUGACGCUGAAGCACGAAAGCAUGGGGAGCAAACAGGAUUAGAUACCCUGGUAGUCCAUGCCGUAAACGAUGAUAGCU
rnacentral:rRNA from 1 species